AUGCUUUGCAGGAAGCAGGGGUGCCUAGAGAGGGCUGCUCUGCUAACUGGCCUGUGGCUCUCCUGCACUGUCUGCAUUCACCAUCCUCCAUCAGCUGGUGCCGGCCUGUCUGUCCCAGUUCUUCACAGGCCACGUGCCACUCCAAGCUCACCAGACUACUGGGGGUUCCACAGACACAAGCCUUAGGUGAAUUCUUUCACUGCCUGCACACUGGCCCAAUCCAAUCAGAAUGCACCACAAAAGGGAGGCCAGAAGGAGAGAUAAAAAGCCUGUUCUAGGCUGAGCAAGCAGGAGGUGCAUAGGCACAGAGGUAGGUAAUCAAGUUGCUCGGUCUGCCAGGAGUAUGGGAAGGGGAAGGGAAAUGAGGAUGAACAGUAGCUUGGAGUCAGAUCUUCGAAGGCGUCUUCUGCUACAUUAUUGAGGUUUGGAUUUUAUUUGGAAG
rnacentral:lncRNA from 12 species